rnacentral:rRNA from 1 species
AGUCGUCGGGAUGCUAGUCAUUUCGGUGAUGCACUAAACAGAUUAAGUGUUCCGCCUGGGGGAGUACGGUCGCAAGAUUAAAACUCAAAGGAAUAGACGGGGACCCGCACAAGUGGUGGAGCAUGUGGUUUAAUUCGAAGAUACGCGAAGAACCUUACCUAGCCUUGACAUUGAAGAAACACACUAGAGAUAGAGUGGUACCCUUCGGGGAAUCUGAAAACAGGUGCUGCACGGCUGUCGUCAGCUCGUGUCGUGAGAUGUUGGGUUAAGUCCCGCAACGAGCGCAACCCUCGUCCUUAGUUGCCAGCAGGUUAAGCUGGGCACUCUAAGGAGACUGCCUUCGUAAGGAGGAGGAAGGUGAGGACGACGUCAAGUCAUCAUGGCCCUUAUGGCUAGGGCUACACACGUGCUACAAUGGGGCGUACAGAGAGUUGCGAUACCGCGAGGUGGAGCCAAUCUCAUAAAGCGUCUCUCAGUUCGGAUUGAAGUCUGCAACUCGACUUCAUGAAGCUGGAAUCACUAGUAAUCGUAGAUCAGCAAUGCUACGGUGAAUACGU